AGCAUGUGGUUUAAUUCGAUGAUACGCGAGGAACCUUACCUGGGCUCAAAUGUAUGUUGACGUAUUCUGAAAGGGAUACUUCUUCGGACAAUAUACAAGGUGCUGCAUGGUUGUCGUCAGCUCGUGCCGUGAGGUGUCGGCUUAAGUGCCAUAACGAGCGCAACCCUCAUCAUUAGUUACCAUCAGGUAAGGCUGGGGACUCUAAUGAGACUGCCAUCGUAAGAUGUGAGGAAGGUGGGGAUGACGUCAAAUCAGCACGGCCCUUACGUCCGGGGCGACACACGUGUUACAAUGGGUGGUACAAAGGGCAGCUACCUGGCGACAGGAUGCUAAUCUCCAAAACCACUCUCAGUUCGGAUCGGAGUCUGCAACUCGACUCCGUGAAGCUGGAUUCGCUAGUAAUCGCGCAUCAGCCACGGCGCGGUGAAUACGUUCCCGGGCCUU
rnacentral:rRNA from 1 species